rnacentral:misc_RNA from 1 species
AGCAUUAAAAACUCAUCUUUUGGGAUGAUGAUGUACCAUUUGAAUCUUUUCUACUCUGUAGUAUCAUCCUCCAACUUUUUGGACUCGACAUAACGAAGAAUGUCAGGUGAGGAAUGUAUCUGGCCAGUGCUGAAGUAAGAAUGAGCAUAUUCUUCUAUUUUCUCCAUCCUGUAAACAUAGUUCACCAUUAUACCUCCACUUUGAAGAAGGCCUUUUUCGGAUCGAUCUGCCAUCCAGUUAAGUCUCUCAAUCAUUGCUCCGUUUUGCAAGUGAAAGUUUGCCACAGAAUCUAGAGCUUUUCCUCUCUUU